GGCCGACUAGCUCAGUUGGUUAGAGCGUCGUGCUAAUAACUUGUAUGUUAUACGCGAAGGUCUUGGGUUCGAUCCCCACGUUGGCCA